AGUACGGCGAGUGAACCGGGAAGAGCUCAAAUUUGAAAUCUGGCGUCCUCAGGGCGUCCGAGUUGUAAUCUAUAGAGGCGUUUUCCGUGCCGGACCGUGUCCAAGUUCCUUGGAACAGGAUAUCAAAGAGGGUGACAAUCCCGUACUUGACACGACGACCGGUGCUCUGUGAUACGUCUUCUACGAGUCGAGUUGUUUGGGAAUGCAGCUCAAAAUGGGUGGUGAGUUCCAUCUAAAGCUAAAUAUUGGCGAGAGACCGAUAGCGAACAAGUACCGUGAGGGAAAGAUGAAAAGCACUUUGGAAAGAGAGUUAAACAGUACGUGAAAUUGUUGAAAGGGAAACGAUUGAAGUCAGUCGUGACCGAGAGGCUCAGCCGGUUCUGCCGGUGUAUUCCCCUCGGUCGGGUCAACAUCAGUUUUGUCCGGUGGAUAAGGACGGUAGGAAGGUGGCACCCUCGGGUGUGUUAUAGCCUGCCGUCGCAUACAUCGGGUGAGACUGAGGAACGCAGCUCGCCUUUAUGGCCGGGGUUCGCCCACGUCCGAGCUUAGGAUGUUGACAUAAUGGCUUUAAACGACCCGUCUU
rnacentral:rRNA from 1 species